UUGACCUCGGAUCAGGUAGGAGUACCCGCUGAA
rnacentral:rRNA from 1 species